rnacentral:tRNA from 1 species
GUUUCUAUAGUGUAGUGGUUAUCACAUUCGCUUCACAUGUAAAAGAUCUCAGGUUUGAAACCAGACAGAAACA